UCCAGGCCCUACGGGGUGCAGCAGGCGCGAAACCUCCGCAAUGUGAGAAAUCGCGACGGGGGGAUCCCAAGUGCCAUUCUUAACGGGAUGGCUUUUCAUUAGUGUAAAGAGCUUUUGGAAUAAGAGCUGGGCAAGACCGGUGCCAGCCGCCGCGGUAACACCGGCAGCUCUAGUGGUAGCAGUUUUUAUUGGGCCUAAAGCGUCCGUAGCCGGUUUAAUAAGUCUCUGGCGAAAUCCUGCAGCUUAACUGUGGGAAUUGCUGGAGAUACUAUUAGACUUGAGAUCGGGAGAGGUUAGAGGUACUCCCAGGGUAGAGGUGAAAUUCUGUAAUCCUGGGAGGACCGCCUGUUGCGAAGGCGUCUGACUGGAACGAUUCUGACGGUGAGGGACGAAAGCUAGGGGCGCGAACCGGAUUAGAUACCCGGGUAGUCCUAGCUGUAAACGAUGCGGACUUGGUGUUGGGGUGGCUUUGAGCUGUCCCAGUGCCGAAGGGAAGCUGUUAGGUCCGCCGCCUGGGAAGUACGGUCGCGAGACUGAAACUUAAAGGAAUUGGCGGGGGAGCACCACAACGCGUGGAGCCUGCGGUUUAAUUGGAGUCAACGCCGG
rnacentral:rRNA from 1 species